CGAAGGGGGCUAGCGUUGUUCGGAAUUACUGGGCGUAAAGCGUUUGUAGGCGGUUAUACAAGUCAGUGGUGAAAGCCCAGGGCUUAACCCUGGAAUUGCCAUUGAAACUGUAUAGCUAGAGAAUGUUAGAGGAAAGUGGAAUUCCUAGUGUAGGAGUGAAAUCCGUAGAGAUUAGGAGGAAUAUCGAUGGCGAAGGCAGCUUUCUGGGACAUUUCUGACGCUGAGAAACGAAAGCGUGGGUAGCAAACAGGAUUAGAUACCCUGGUAGUCCACGCCCUAAACGAUGGGUGCUAGACGUCGGAACAUUAAUUUCGGUGUCGCAGCUAACGCGUUAAGCACCCCGCCUGGGGAGUACGGUCGCAAGAUUA
rnacentral:rRNA from 1 species